ACAGCUCCUACUACGACAACCGCAGCUCCUACUACGACAACCGCAGCUCCUACUACGACAACCGCAGCUCCUACUACGACAACCGCAGCUCCUUCUACGACAACCGCAGUUCCUACAAGAGCCACAACUGCUGCUCCUAAUAUGACAACAACCGUUCAUAACACAACAGAGACAGCUCUUGCUACGGCAAAAGCACUUCUAAGUACGACAAUUAGUGUUCCUACAGCAACAACCGCAGCUCCUACAGCAACAACCGCAGCUCCUAAUACAGCAACCACAGCUCCUAAUACAGCAACCACAGCUCCUAAUACAGCAACCACAGCUCCUAAUACAGCAACUACAGCUCCUAAUACAACAACUACAGCUCCUAAUACAACAACUACAGCUCCUAAUACAACAACUACAGCUCCUAAUACAACAACUACAGCUCCUAAUACAACAACUACAGCUCCUARUACAACAACUACAGCUCCUAGUACAACAACUACAUCUCCUAGUACAACAACUACAGCUCCUAGUACAACAACUACAGCUCCUAGUACAACAACUACAGCUCCUAAUACAACAACUACAGCUCCUAAUACAACAACAACACAAACGAGCACUACAACUCCACCUGCCGGACAGUCAACCACGAAUAGUGGGCUUAGAUAUAAGUUGGUACUGAGGGUGAAAUUGGACAUGACGACAGACCUAACCGAAUCUGAGAUCUUGAAACCGCUUCGUGCAGAACUGAUCAGACUAGGGCUGCCAGAGACCUUUACACUGCGAUUGAGAUUCAUUCAGAGCUAGUUGACCGGGGGAAGAGGAGGACGACACUGGAGAUAAAACACAAACAGAUUACAAUGCAAACCUGAUCACAAAGAUAAUUUACACACAUAUCUUACAAUAGAUUGUCCUCAGUAUUACAUUAUUCCCACAUGACCUACGGUAACUGGACCUAAUGUAUUCGCAACUAAAUAUCUACAGUGCCUUCAGAAAAUUCACACCCCUUGACUUUUCCCACAUUUUGUUGUUUUACAAAGUGGGAUUAAAAUGUAUGUAAAUUUAUUUUUUCGUCAACGAUCUACACUAAAUAUAGUUGAAGAAAAUGUAUAAUAUUGUAAAAAAUGUAAUCAUGAACAAUAAAACACUAAUAUAUCUUGAUUA